rnacentral:rRNA from 1 species
GACGAACGCUGGCGGCGUGCCUAAUACAUGCAAGUAGAACGCUGAAGGAGGAGCUUGCUUCUCUGGAUGAGUUGCGAACGGGUGAGUAAUGCGUAGGUAACCUGCCUGGUAGUGGGGGAUAACUAUUGGAAACGAUAGCUAAUACCGCAUAAUAGCAGUUGUUGCAUGAUAACUGUUUGAAAGGUGCAAUUGCACCGCUACCAGAUGGACCUGCGUUGUAUUAGCUAGUUGGUGGGGUAACGGCUCACCAAGGCGACGAUACAUAGCCGACCUGAGAGGGUGAUCGGCCACACUGGGACUGAGACACGGCCCAGACUCCUACGGGAGGCAGCAGUAGGGAAUCUUCGGCAAUGGACGGAAGUCUGACCGAGCAACGCCGCGUGAGUGAAGAAGGUUUUCGGAUCGUAAAGCUCUGUUGUAAGAGAAGAACGAGUGUGAGAGUGGAAAGUUCACACUGUGACGGUAUCUUACCAGAAAGGGACGGCUAACUACGUG